rnacentral:rRNA from 1 species
GACGGGGGGUCCAAGCGUUGUUCGGAAUCAUUGGGCGUAAAGCGUGUGCAGGUGGCUCUGUAAGUUGGAUGUGAAAGCCCCGGGCUCAACUCGGGAAGUGCAUUCAAAACUACAAAGCUUGAGUAAGGAAGAGGGUCGUGGAAUUCCAGGUGUAGUGGUGAAAUACGUAGAUAUCUGGAGGAACACCGGUGGCGAAGGCGGCGACCUGGUCCUAUACUGACACUCAUACACGAAAGCGUGGGGAAUCAAACAGGG